rnacentral:tRNA from 12 species
GCGUCCGUAGCUCAGUUGGUUAGAGCACUACCUUGACAUGGUAGGGGUCGGAUGUUCGAGUCAUCUCGGACGCACCA